rnacentral:rRNA from 1 species
GAUGAACGCUGACAGAAUGCUUAACACAUGCAAGUCAACUGUGGCGGACGUGUGAGUCACGCGUAAAGAACUUGCCUCACAGUUUGGGCCAACAUUGGGAAACGAAUGCUCAUACCUGAUACUGUGAGAGCGCUUUGCGUCCCAUUGGCUGGUUGGAGAGGUAACGGCUCACGAAGGCGAUGAUGGGUAGCCGGCCUGAGAGGGUGAUCGGCCACAAGGGGACUGGGACAGCGCCAUUACUGAGACUGGAGGCAGCAGUGGGGAACAUGGGACAAUGGACCAAAGUCUGAUCCAGCAAUUCGGUGUGCACGAUGAAGUUUUCGGGAGGAAAAGUGCUUUCAGUUUGGAAGCAGUACCAACAGAAGAAGCGACGGCUAAAUACGUGCCAGCAGCCGCGGUAAUUC